rnacentral:lncRNA from 1 species
ACCUUAACAUUUGGAAGUUAGAAGUAAUCCAAAAAUUUGCUUCAGUAUAUAAUACAUCUGUUUUUCAGAUUCCUACAAAACAUAAAAAUUAUAGCUUAUAAAGGCCGGGUGCCUUGGUUCACGCCUGUAACACUAGAACUUUGGGAGGCUGAGGCAGGCGGAUUGCCUGAGCUGAGGAGUUCCAGACCAGCCUGGGCAACAAGGUGAAACCCUAUCUCUACUAAAAUACAAAAAAAUUAGCCAGGCGUGGCAGUGUAUGCCUGUAGUCCCAGCUACUCGGGAGGCUGAGGCAGGAGAAUUGCUUGAGCCCCGGAGGCAGAGGUUGCAGGGAGCCGAGAUCAUGUCACUGCAUUCCAGCCUGGGCAACAGAGCAAGACUCCAACUCUACCAAAAAAAAAAAAAAAAAAAAA